rnacentral:rRNA from 1 species
AUUGAACGCUGGCGGCAGGCUUAACACAUGCAAGUCGAGCGGGGUGAUGGUGCUUGCACUAUCACUUAGCGGCGGACGGGUGAGUAAUGCUUAGGAAUCUGCCUAUUAGUGGGGGACAACAUCUCGAAAGGGAUGCUAAUACCGCAUACGUCCUACGGGAGAAAGCAGGGGAUCACCUGUGACCUUGCGCUAAUAGAUGAGCCUAAGUCGGAUUAGCUAGUUGGUGGGGUAAAGGCCUACCAAGGCGACGAUCUGUAGCGGGUCUGAGAGGAUGACUCGCCACACUGGGACAGAGACAAGGCCCAGACUCCUACGGGAGGCAGCAGUGGGGAAUAUUGGACAAUGGGGGGAACCCUGAUCCAGCCAUGCCGCGUGUGUGAAGAAGGCCUUAUGGUUGUAAAGCACUUUAAGCGAGGAGGAGGCUCUUUUGGUUAAUACCCAAGAUGAGUGGGCGUUACUCGCAGAAUAAGCACCGGCUAACUCUGUGCCAGCCGCCGCUGUAA